CCAAGAACGAAGGUGGUCGGCUGAGGCGUAAAAGAUGAACAACCAAAUUAGGGUUUAGUUCUCCAUGCUUCCCUAUAAAUACAUCUCAUACCCUCCGUUCAUCAGUGUAUCUUCUCUGUGUGGAUAGUCUUCUUAAAAAGUAAAGAAAGAUUGCCUCUCCUUUCGGCUGCAAGAAUCAGUAUGGGUUUCUUGAUGGCUUUGUUCUGGAGGCAUAUAUUAAUUUUCAUCCCAAGAUUGGGUUUUCAGAUUAUUUGCAUCUUCUUUUGCUUAUAUCACUCCCUUUCUUUGGUACAUUUAUUUCUGGUUUUGGUUUCAGUCUCUUCUUUUGUGUUUCUUUAUAGUGGGUGGGUUUGCUUGAACAAAUUGAUAGCAUCCCCUAAGGAUUUGCACCACCCUAGGCAUCUAACACCCCAAUUUCACUUUCAUAAUUACUGCUAUUUUUGUUAUUUUCAAGGAGACAAAAAAUAUUUUUUUAAUAUAAAAUAUUAAUUAUUGUUUUUUAUAUUAUUAAUUUUGACUGUCAUUAAUUUUAAAAAAAAACAAAUACACGAUGAUUUUGAAUAAAUCCUUUAAAUUUGAAUUAUAAAUGAUAAAACAAUAAGUUCAUAAAAAAAAUUAUAAAUUACAAUUUUUAUAAUGUAUGAAGUUUCAAUAUUUCAAAGGUAAGCGAGAUGUGUAGAAAUUAAUUCACUGUUAACAUAAUAAUAAAAUAAUACAUUUAUUAACUUUAAUUGUAAAAUAAUUUACUAUUUUAUAUUUAAAAUAAAAAAAUCAACAUCAACUUGUAUCAUAAAAUCAAGUCUUAUUUUUUAAUUUGCACAAGUCAAUUAAGCAAAUAAUUUAAAUUAGUCAAGUAAUCUAAUCAAACUGAGGAAAAUGGUGGUUUAAAAUUUUAAUCGACAUUAGAUCUGAUGGUGCACAAUAUCAAUGAGUGUGAGAGUAAGAUUGGUUCACUCACUUUGAAGCCAAAUGUCAAAAAAAAUAAAGGUGGAGGAAGAUGAGAGGAUUUUAAAAGAGGAGAAAGCUCCCCUUCUCCCCCAAUGAUGGUUGAGGAGAAUGUGUUAAAGAUGGACAGUUCCUCAGGUCAUUCACGAAUAUCUCUUCAGUUAUUUUUUAUAUUGCCACGUGUUUUAAUUGAGGUGGGAAUAUAACAAAUCCAAUCAAAUGCGGUUAAAAGUCUAUCCCAUAUUAAAGAUUUUUGAGCUUUUUAAUAUCACCAACAAAAAAAAAAAAAAAAAACCAUAUUCAAUCUCAUAUGGAAGAAUUUACAUAUCUUGACAAGGACAUGGCAAAUUGCAUUUUUUUUUAUAAUCUCAAAAUAAACCAAUGUACUUAUUUUUCUAAAAUAAUUUUAUUUUGUUGAUGGGUCGUCAAUAUUGCCAUCAAUUUCUCAUGGUCAACCUUCAAUUAGAUGUAAAAAAUUGAAAGAGAAUUAAUUGAUUUUUUUUAAACACGCCUUUUAUAUUGCUAUUAUAAAAAUUUCUCAAAAAUUAUAAUUUUUCUAAAAUAUUUGUUUAACUAAAUUUAUUUAAUAAAAAAUUAUCAUACUAAUAAAUAAGAUUAUAAUUUUUUAAAAGAAGUUUGUUAAAUCAAAUUUAUAUCAUAACACAUAAAAAUGUUAAAACUUAUAUUGAAUUAUCUUAUAUUUAAAGUAUUGCUUUUUUUUCAUUAACUAGGUAGUAAGACAAUAUUAUAUUAUUUUAGUUCUCAAUAUCAAAUUUUAUUAAUUUAUUAUAUAAAUUUUUAUAAAUAAUAAAUUAUGUAACCAAAUAUAAUAUUAGUUAUAGUCAAUUUAUUGAUUAUAAAAGGAUAAAAGAAAAGAGAAUAUUAAUUUACAACAUAAAAAAAUAGUACAGUCCAAAUGCUUUAAAGAGAAAUAUUACUUUAUAUUAACUAAUUUUUUUAAAAUCAUAAGACAUAUACAAGGUGCGUUUUCUAACACUAGAAAGUAAAGUAACAAAUAAAUAAACAUAAAAAAAAUAUUGCAGUGCUAAAUGGCUUAUGCUUGAUGACUGCCUAUUCAGGAGUUGCAGUGCCGCCUACAUACAGGCAACGCAAAGAUGUAUUCUAAAUCAUAUUACAAAUGAAAAUUAAGUAUUACAGGCCCAAAUUAAAUACC
rnacentral:lncRNA from 1 species